CAGCAAACAGUUAUUGACGACUAAAAUCAAUAUUGUAUAAAAAUACGACACUGUAAAACAUCUGUCCUCUUCAUCUUCUUCCUCUUCGGUCUCUUAUGACUCACAUGGUUCAGGAUGUGUGAGAGAGAUCACUGCCCACCUGAGGCGAUGACGCAUGCGCGGGUUCUCCGGAUACACGAAGCUGCUUCAUGAAGACGUUUGGAGGACGAGAGGAAGAAGGAGAGAGAGUGGAGGGAGAUAACACACAGAACUGGAGUUUAUUGAGAGAUAUAAGCCCAGAACCAGGCAGAGGUAGACUUACUAACUGGUGCUGGUCAGCUGGAGCGGACUGCACUCAUAGCUGCAGAGUCUACAAGGAUUCACCGGCUGAGUUGACUGUUUGGGGGAAGGGACACUGCAGCUGCUGUGUCGGCCACUGGAGGGCGCUCUGGCAUUGUUGACUUCAGGAGGACUGCUGCAACUAUGGAAGAGUCUUCAGUUGGAGGAAGAGGAUCACCUGGAGCCCCAGUCUGGACCAGGAGGACCCACCAGAGUUCAGCACUGAUCUAUUCAAACCUGUGGUCCCUGUAGUUCUGCUCUUUAUGAUCAGUAUGUCUC